rnacentral:rRNA from 1 species
GAAACACAUGAGUCAUGCGUAAUUGAUGGUGAUUGUGAUAACGUAAGGGAAAAAAAUGAUAUUACCUUACUAUUAGUGUUGUCCAAAACUGGUGCCAGAAGACUCGGUAAGGCCAGAGACGCAAACGUUAGUCGUCCUAAUCAGGCGUAAAGGGUGUGUAGGCUGCUUUAAAAGUUUUAUUUUUUAAUAGCUCUGUAACCGUAGUAUUCACAGCCACAGCUGUUUCACAGCUGUGGGACUGUGACUACAUAAAAUUUUAUUAAUUAAAAAUAAAUGAUAUUUCUAUAAUAUUUAUCACUACCGUGGUUGAUGUUAUUAAAUAUACGUGUUUUAGAAAAAAUAAGAUUAAUUAAAGCUAGAAUCAAAUUGGGGAUAAACCGAAUAAUACUUAGAGUAGGGAUUAUAUCCGCAGAUACUAAGGGGAAUACUAAAGGUGAAAGCUUUUUAUCUACUAUUGAUUGACGCUGAGAAACGAAGGUGAGAAUAGGAAAUAGGAUUAGAUACCCAGAUACCUCUCACUGUCAACGAUGAAUGGUGGUUGUUAGUUUUAAUAAAAACUGGUAACGAUGUUAACACGAUAACCAUUCCGCCUUGCGAGUACGGUUGCAAAACUGAAACCAAAAAAAUUAGUCGGUCU